GAAGGCCAAGGUUCAGCAGAGUCCUGCGUGCAGGGCACUGGUAUCGAGGUUAGAGCACGCGGUGAUGGGUGAGUAUAAUGGCGGCAGGAGGUCGUAUCGGACCCGCGCCUGGAUCGGUGACCGGUACCGUGAGAUCUCAAUCGAACUCGGGGCGAAGGAGAGGGGGAAAGAAAUGUGGAUGUCGGUGGAGAUCGACGGCAAGCGGCUCUUGUUCGUGAGGCGUCUCCGGUGGAAGUUCGGGGGGAACGAGAGAUUGGAGCUCGACGGAGGCUGGAUUCAUUUCUCCUAGGAUCUCCGCAACUGGUUCUUCUAGUCUAAGGACCACAAACCAAUACCGUCAGCCGCCGGCGCCCGCGACUCUGCCUCGGAAGAGCUAGGGCACGCCGUGUUUCUGCUUCAGUUCGAGGGCUCGCAGAAAUCAAGUCCUCAGAGAGAGGAUAAUUUUACCAGAAGUUCAAUCUUCAGAAAUUGGGUGCCCGAGAGAUACAAUUAAAAAUGGGGCUCAUUAAUUGGAGCUGGAGUGGAAGUGGAGUUGUCGGUGAGCAUAGAAGGCGAGGGAGGAAGAGCAGCACGCAGAAAUCCAGCUACUCCUCUUCAGCUUCGUCGGCCUCGUCAGCUAACACUUGGUCGGUGAUGGAAUGGGUGAGCCCAGAGGAAGUGGAUCUGCGGCGAGUGCAGGGCUUCUCCCUACUUGUCUACGCCUGGAAGAAUUGAUCCACUAGAGAACAAUUUGGGUUGUCAUUGGAUUUUGACUGUCUCGACCCUUAUGUGGAGAUGGUUUAUUUGUUCGAUUCAUUUAAUCGUCGCAAUCAUUAUGAGGACUGGAAAUAUGUAGUGGAUAUGAGCUUGAAAUUGUUCAAUUCGAACAAGCAAAGGAAAGGGAAAAAGAAGCCUAUGUGGGAAGUCGUAAAGGUUUGUAUAUUAUAUAUACACACAUAUGUUUACUUGUGAUUAAUUUAAAAAUAUUUAACUAUGCAUUAUUCAUUGAUAAUUUUUUGUUAACAUUGGGUCCUCGACAACCUUAUGCUAAACAAUGUGGGUUUUAUAUGAUGAAAUUUAUGAGAGAAAUUAUUGAAGGAAAUGCUACCGGCGAGAAGGAUUCACUUAGCUCAAUGGUAAUAUUUGACAUAUUCUCAAUUUUCUCAAAUAAUUUCUUUUACUUGACUUUGCUUCUUCGUUACUGAUUUUUUUUUACUAAUAUAACCUGGGUUUGUUAACCGUUCAUGAAAAAAAUUAACUCCAACGAAGAAAUUGACGAAGUGUGAUCCGAAUGUGUGGAUUGCAUACUAGACUAUAUUCAUUAUUAGGUAUAAAUUACUAGACUUCAAAAGAUGGUUGAACACUUUGUUUGUGACUCCAUGACUUAUUGAUUUUGAUUCCUUAGUGCCAAUAAUUUGUUUGUUCAUAGCUAGCUAUCUCCUUUGCUCAAUACUUCAUUCUUGCAUUUCUACCAUGAGCAGAAUUAGCUGACAUUUCUUUUAUUUAUUGUCUCUCUUUGUUCUCAUCUUUUGCUUGAUAUGUCAAUAUUUAAUAUAUAUCCAUGUGUUAUCUUGCUGAUUAAACAUUUUGUGAAUUUAGAUAUAGGUAAA